CCUGCUCUUCCCAGAAGCCGGCCAGGAACCGGCAGCUGCUCUGCGGGACCCGCCCUGAGCCACAAGCUCCUCCUGCAGAGUCGAUUUCAGCGCCCUCUAGGACCGAAGCCGCCGCGCUAAACUUGGCGGGUUUCAAACCCUCAACCGGCUGGAGACGAAGGGAAGGAGGACGGCUCCAUGUUUCCACCAUCCGCCCCUCUCAAGAGUUAUCCGGCAAGUUUUUUUAAUCAAGAAACGCCAGCCGCGCAAGCCGGGGAAGGAGCCUGGGCUCUGCACCAGAAUAACGUCAUGGCAUUGCACCAUGACGUCAUGCCCAUGCGGGCGGAUGAUGACGUCGUUGCGGGGGUACGCUGAAGAUCAACCACGAGAGGAAGAAAGAGGCUUGCUUAUGAGCGAGCGCAAGGGAGAUAGCACGGGUUGAUGGCACGGCGGGAUGAUCUUGCAAGUUAAUUAUUGUGCAGCUGCAGCUUUUUAAGAAACUGUGCAGAACUGGGGUGCUGUGUGGUUUCUCUACACAGCACCCCAGUGAUUCCGGCCGUGAAAGCCUUCGACAAUACAUUGUGCAGAACUGUUCCUGAUUUAUUGUUUUGUUUACUAUGGCUUUUCCUCGUCCUGGCUCAAUGCUACGCAUUUUUACUCAGCAAGACUUGUUGUCAUCUCCAGAUGCAGGUUUGGCAUCAUAACUGAGCAGAGGAUCAAAGUCCAAAGAUGCGUGUGGCUUUCAGGUGGUAGAAGAAAGUUGCUCAGAAGUACAUGGCAGGGGGUGCCAGGCCAUCUGCAGAUGGCUUCAGGUCAAGCUUAAAACUCUGUAACUUCCCAACCAUUGGAAAUUCUCAGAAGUGAGGAAUUGUCCCAAUAAAACUUUACACCUA